rnacentral:lncRNA from 10 species
GUUUCUUCAUCUCUUUGUAUAACACUUUACCAUCAGGAUCUUCUAAUCGACAAUCUACAUCAUAGUGACCACCAGUAAUCACCUGUAAGAGAUUAAAAAAGAAAAAUCACUGUGAAAAGUGUGAAAAAUUAAUCAGAUUUAAUCAGAUUUCCUAUUAAAAUGGCAAUAAGGUGAUGGGCAAAGGACUUUUACUAUCUUUUUAAAUUUUCACCAGUGGAUGGAACUUGGGAGAUUUUACUUCAACUAAACUUUACAGAAACUGAACAAGUAUUCUCCAACUUUUAUUCACUUUGAACUAGCCAGACAACUGUGCUAAUUAAUGGAGAUCUAUUAGAUCACUUAAUUCUCCCAGCAACCCUACAAUAUACUUUUUUCCUUCCAUUUGACAGACUGAAAAACUGAUGUUAAAUAAGCGAACUAUUCAAGACUGUUCAUCUAAAUUAAGUGGGAAAGGCAGAACUUGAACUCCAAAGUCAUAUUCUUAACCUCUAAGCUUACUGCCUGCAAUAUUUUCCUUCUGAAAAUUUUCUAACCCACUUUCCUAUUAGCAUCAUCCAAGCACACACACAGUGAAGUAACAAGGUAGGCCAAUCCUUAGGAUUACACCCCAUUCAUACUUCUAUCAUAGAACUUAAGCUCAUUUUACUGCCAAAUUACAAAUAGAUUACAUUUAUUAAGUUCUUUUAUAGUCAGUUAUAUGGAAUUUGAUAUACAUUUUGUUUUGAACUACACUAUAAGUUGAGUAACGGAGUGGGCUAUUCUAAAAGUAUAUAAUCAUUUACAACCUUGUUUUGAGGAGAGACACGUAACUGAUUAAAUAAAAUAUUGUUGAAACUCUUGUGAUUAAAGCAAAAACAAAAUAACAUGAAGGACAACAAGUCUGUUUAUCUAGAAAGCCAGUACUUAAUGGCAAACAUACUGAAUGGAAGCCUGGAGGUAGGUGAUAUGAGUCUGAACAGAACUGUGGAACUACUUUCCACGGCUUAUGCUUAAUCAGUUACAAUUCCAGCCAUUUGGGUUGUACAGAGGAGGGAGAGAUUUUUCCUGCGGUAACUGGAUAAGUAUUGUAAGAGACAAAAGGGGGAAAGGAUUAAAGAGAAAGGCUUCCUUACAUGAGAAAGAACUGAGUAGGAAGAAAGAGGGAGUGCAGAGAGGUGAACAGAGUGAACGUAUACACAUUGGGUUGAAUGAAGGGUUCCCAAACCACCAUGUGAUUGGGGAGCACAAGAUUGUUAUUUUCAACCUUGAACUCUCUUGGUUAGCAUCCUGACAUUCUAGGUCAAACUUUGGAUUUAAAAGAAGGAUCUGUGUGACCUUUUCUCACUUGAGAGAAGAUGACUAAUGAACUAUGUUACAUAUCAUUUUGAUAAUCUAAUGAAAAUAAUUAUGCACUUAUGAAACUGUAAAAAUAUGUAAAUGUUAAUAUACAGAUAAAAUGUUUUGAUAUAAAAGUGUCUUAUCAAUUGGGGAUUUACCAAUCCCCAUCCUCACCAAAAAGUCAGUAACUUUUUCUCCAGGUGAAAAUAACUUCAUUUUGCUAUACUGAAUUAUACGUAUUUGACCAUUGUAUUCUGAAUAAUCAAACACAUACAUACAAACCGAAUAGCACCAGAACUUAUCAUCACCCCACUUCUCUUCCAUCAAACUUAAAACAAGUAAUCUCACUUAACAGUAUCCCUUUAAACCUGUCCAAUCACCUACUAUUGAAACUGAGGAUCAUCCCAAACUAACUGUCCCUAUCUAUCCAUAUGAUCACACAAAUCUCUCAAUCUUUUUGCCCCUCUCAAAUUCAUCGCAUUCCGAAACCACAAUCCAGACAGGACUAUUGCCACAACUUCCUAAAAGGUCUUCCCACUACCCAAUAUCUUCUCCCUCGAACUCAGGGUUUCUCAACCUCGCAUUAUUCCCAUUUUGAACUGAAUAAUUCUGUGUUGUAGGAGGCUGUAUGGUCCUGUGCACUGUGACACGUUAAACAGCAUACCUGGUCUCUAACUACUAGAUGCAGGUAGCUGCCCUUCUCCUAAAAUGAUGCCGAAUGUCUCCUGGGAAGAAGGGGUGCCCAUCUCCCCAUCUUUCCUCAUUCCCCAUUGAGCAAUCACUUAAAAACUUUUUGAUAAUUACCUGUGGCCUGCAGACAAAUCUAAACCUCUUAACAAUGGUAUACUAUUCACAUGUUCUUCCUCCCAGGUAGCUUCAGAACCUCUUUUAUUCACACCCUUACUCGUUCUAUGUUCCUAAAAUACCAGACUACCAGAAAUUCUCUGAACAAGUCUUUGCUUUACAUCUGCACUGACAGUGCAGUUCAACAGGGUUUGCUAAAGAAUCACACGGAUCAAAAUGACAGUGUUUGCAAAUCUACAGUUUAUUACUGUAGGUUAUGUUAUAAAUCUACAGUUUAUAACAUUAUACGACUAUAUAUGUCUAUGUAAGCUCUCUGAGGUCAGAGUCAGUCUCUGGGAGGUAGUAUAAUAAAGUGGCUAAGAAUUUAACUUGGGACUGAAAAGAGCCCCAAAAGGAAAAGAAUAUAAAACAUUACAGCCAAAGGCUGCCUCACAGCAAGAGAUCUGAAAAGGUCAGGUGUGGGCUCCUUCGGCUUCCCUUUGUUAGGUGUGUGGCCAGACAUAUACUCUCUCAGAUCUGGAACCACCCAAGUGUGCAAAGAAAACACCCUGGAACCAAGCAACCCAAAAUAGAGUCCUGAUUGCAUUUUUAAAUAUUUUGCUGGUCACAUAGGCAUAUUCCUGCUACGCAGCUAGUCUCAACAACAGAGCUCUGGGUUGGGGGUGUGGUCUCAUGAAGACCAGGAGCAAAUCAUCAAUCUCAUUGUUACCAAUAAAUAAUGUUGACAAACUGGUACAAACUGCCCCCAAAGCCCUUGGACUCACAGUCACAAAGCUAUUAUAAUAGCUUCAUAUUAAAGCUAAUAAUAAUAGUUUUGUGACUAUUAAUAAAUAUAACUAUAGUCACAAAACUAUUAUUAUUCAGUGUAUUUUCAAUGCCAUGCACAAAUGUUAGCAAUAUAGCUCAGGCUAAUUUCAGGCCUGCUGGAACUGUCAUGAACAUAUCUGCCUGGGGCCCCUUCUUCUCUCCUCUGCCGCCUUGUAGAGCAACGGCUACUUAUCUUGCAGACUCACCUCUAACAUCAGCUCCUCAGCUAAAUGUCCCCUGAUGAUCCUUCUGUCUCCUGCCAGCACUAUACCUAGUGUGUACCUUUAUUGUCACAUUUAACAUUUUAUGACUAUAUAUGUCUGUGUAAGCUCUCUGAGAUCAAAGUCAGUCUCUGGGAGGUAGUAUAAUAAAGUGGUUAAGAAUUUAACUUGGGACUGCGUUACUGAUUUAGCUACUUCUACGUUUUAUGCCCUUGGUUCUUAGCCUAUCUAAACCUCAGUUUCAUCAGUAAAAAAGGAGUAAGAGCUAUAACAAUUUCAUAUCGGGCUUUCCUGAGAACAUACCUGAAAUGCUUAACAUACUGUCUACACAUAACAGAUGCUAAUUUGUUAGCCAUUGUAGUAGUAUCCUUAGCACUAAUCACUGAGUCUGCAUACACAAAAAUCCAGGAAAUGUUUAUUAAAUUCAAACAAAGAAAAUGUCGGCUUAUACUUUUUAUCACAAUUCCUGCUAUCUUCUUUUCUGUCCCCUGGUGCUAAUCCAUGAAGGUAAGUAAGCCUAAGGGUCAUCCUUGGCCUCCCCUCCCUGACCCACUAUAGCCAAAUCAUUACCAAGUCCUGUUGAUUCUACCUACUACCUUCUCUCCAAUCCUUUCACUUUUCAUUUACCCCACUGCUAUCACUCUACUCUAAGCCACUAUCAUUUCUUGUCUAGACCACCAUAAUAACCUCCUAAUCAGCCUUCCACAUCCGCUCUGCAACAUCUUACCAUCACUUCUCUACCUGCACAAGUUAUUAUUAAUGCAGCUACCAAGAAUAUUCUCGUCAUAUCACUGAACUGCUUAUAACCCUCUGAUGGCUUCCUACACUUUCAGGAAAAACAAAUCCUUAACAUGGUCAGCAAGACACUAUCUGGCCUGCCCCUGCUGACCCCCUUGCUCUGGCUCCUUAUUCCCAACCAUAUUGGACCUCUCUCUAUGGCCCUGAAAUUCUCAGUGUUCACUACUACCACAGGCUAUUCCCCCUCCUCCCUUACCAAGGUGUUUAUAGCUCAUCCUUUAAAGUUCAGCUUAAAAUAAUUUUCCAAAGGAAGUCUUCCUUCAUGGAUCCUACUUACUGCUCUUAAGGCACAGUUCUGAUGAAUGAGCAGAUACCAGUUAAGAAAAGCAGGGUGAGAGGGGAAUCAUGAAUGAUGGCAGUGACCCUAUCUGUUUCGACCACUUCUGUACCACUGGCACCUAGUAUUCAAUAGCUACUCAAAUGUUAAAUGCGCCUACCAACCAAAAUUGAAGCUCAGUAAAGACUGUUCUAACCAACCGAAUAAACCACAUUCUGUUAAAGUUUCUUUUUUAUAUAAUCCCAAAUAUCAGAAGGGGCCUCUCAUUUAUCACAGCAAUUCUUUCUACAACUCCCUUGGCAAAUGGCCGUUCAACCUGUAAUGGAGCUCUUCCAAUGACAAGGACCGUAUUAACCAACAGUCCUAAUAUUGGUAAAACUGAAAAGCAAUGAAGUUAGACAUUGGCAGCACUCCAAAUCCAAUUAAAUUGGAGGUGUGGAUUAGAGAGUAGAGGGUUGACACUGGGUACUACAGAGUAUAAAUGAUUUUCUUUAAGGGAAUCUUUUAAGGAAGAAAGUUCAAUAGGCCUUAAAAAUGAGAUGGAAAGAAAUGCUAAAGGGAGCAUUUCUGGAAUUCAUAUAUUUUAACACCCGGUCUUAACAUCUCUCACCCAAGGUUUAUUAGAGGAAAGUCAAAUGCUGGGCAUCAGCUACCUAGAAGCGAUUUUUGAAUUAGCCUAAGAACGGGGAAACACGGACAGGAAAGUGCCAUCCCUCAAGUUACACCCCCAAUCCUGGAGCCGCGAGUUGGGGCCCAGGGACUGCUAGGCCCCUGAUACCUGGAACUCCAGGGUGCACUUGGUGCCCUGAG